UUGUGUAUUUUAACAAUACAGUUAUAUUAAUAUGUGUGUUACAGUAUUAAUUGUAUGGACGGACAACACAAAAACACAACAACACAGAAUAUAAUCAAGAUACAUUCUCCAAGUAAAUUCCAACCACGAUGCAGGUAAAGAAAAUUACAAACCUUUUACGUGACUUCUGUUUGCAGUGUUUUUCCACAAUGGUAAACAUAUUUAAAGGUCUAAUAUCUAAGACACCAAAUUAUUUUCUGAAAAAAAAAAAUAAUGUAGUUUCUUUACUGGAUACUGGAUUUCCCCAUUCUGGCAGAAAUUAUUACAGAGGAGUUACAAAAAAUGAGACGAGCAAAACUACUGAAGAUGAAGAACCAGAAAGACAGAAUAAUGAUAAUCAAGGGAGAGGACUAACAAACUGGACAGAAGAUGAGGUAAUUUAAAUUAACAAAGAGAAAGGGCCAUAGAGGUAAAUGAUGAGUGGGGAAAUAUUCAGGUGAUGCCUCCAUUAGGCUAAUAGCUACUUUAUAAAAUAUAUUUACAGCAAAUGUAGGCCGAUUGUAUGUUAAUUUAUUGUUAGUAGUUAUGGUGACCCUAGGAGAUGCCUAUUUUGCUAGAAUUUAUAUGCUGUAUUGUUGCAUAUUGUUGUAAUUAUACAGCAUGCCUUGUCCUGGGAGGAGGUGGUCCUGAGUGGCACUUCCUAUCUGCGGUAUUGGGAUGCAUGAUGUCGUUCGUGUUUUCUUGCCGGCCUUGUGCAGGUAGCUGUCGAGCGCCCACAGACAAGGUCACAUUUAUCAUCAUUAAAUCGUCUGUCAAUUGCAAAUCAAUAAAUCAUAACAUGCAGAUUCUCCGUUCUGAAUAUGAAAAUUUGGAAAGUGGAAUGACUUAUUCUAAUUAUGCCAGAAAGAUUAAUUAAAGUUACACAGGUGAGAGUGAAUAAUAUUACAUGGUGCAUUUGUUUGAAAAAGUCAAGACAAAGACAAAUACGUAAAUAUGUAUUGUUGUAAUUGCAUGGUAACCUCAUUUUGAAGUUGCACCAAGGGGUAAUGUGUGACAGUAUAAAAGGGCACAGAGAAUCUUAAUCUGUUCCUUCGCAUUUGUUUACAUGGGGAGAACCAAGAAGGUCUGUGAGAGACCCUGUUAAAAGUAUUGUGAAAACAGUAUCGUGAGUGUUUCUUGUUUGUUUGUCUGUGUGUGUAAUCAUAUUGUUUGUAGCACUACACUAGACAGCUAACGUGAUUCUGGUGCUGUCGCCGAGGGCCAACACUAAAGCUGGAACAGCACUGCACUACUGUCACAAAUAUAAACUGUAUCACCCACCAUGAGCACUACUGCACUCACCCAGGACUGGUGACUGUGUAUGUAUAAUUGUGGAUUGAAUACGUGUGGUUUAUUAUUACUGUUUGAGUCUGCAAACCCAUUAUUGUUUAUUGUUACUGUUUACCAUUUUGAAGGGUAAGAAAACUAGAAAAAAACACAUAAAUUUAAGUGCUCCUAUUUAUUAAUUAUUACUUAAGUAAAUAUUUAGUAGAAAAUGAGAAAUGAAUAAUUAAAAACCAUAUAAGCAACUGUAAAUGUUUAAUUUAGUAUGAAAUUAAUCAAAAUUUUCUUUCAACAGAAUGAUGAACAGACUAAACAAUCAUUUGAUGAACCUCUUUAUCCAGGAACACCUCUUACAAAAGCACAGAGCAUACUGCUACUUAUGUCAUAAGCUCUACGACACAACCUGACUGUCUUAGCACUUGACAACCUACUGCAGCUUUUCAGAGCAAUGGGAAGCCUGGGAACAGCAACACCUCCCAAUGUCCCUUCCUAGACAUCUGAGUUGAAGCUACCUCCCAAGGGUCAGUUCCUGUUGUUACCUCUCAAAGGUCAACUCCUGUCCUGUCCCGCCGAGCCUGAAAUGCCUAGGGCUGCUGAGCCUGCAACGGCAGGGGUGGUCAGUUUGCCAUUACCAGGAUGGCGAGUUCGCCACUCAGGGCUUUGUUGUCCAGUAGCCGCAGUUACAAAUUAUGGGACCUGAUCCCAAGAAAAAGGAACCGCUGGCUACAGAGAAGGAGGAGAGGUGAGGAAACCACCUCCACCCGCAGCAGUUGCAUAGCCGGAAAGUAUGGGGCUGGAGCCCAAGAAAAAGGAACCGCUGGUUACAGAGAAAGAGGAGAGGUGAGGAGGCCACCUCCACCUGCAAUAGUUGCACUCUUGGAGUAUGCAGUGCUGAGGACAGCAGGGCUGCUGCCAAUGCCACCGCCACUUCCUGUCAGCAUUUCAGAUGCCAGCAUGACCAAUGGUAGCAUUUCUGCUGCCAGAACCACCUAUGCUGGAGGAGCGAGCAUUGCUGCUAUCAACAUUUGUCGCUGCCAGCAUUGCCACUGCCAGGAUCGCUCAGGGCUGGAGGAGCCACCUUUGGUAUUGUGAGGAUUUCCGUUGACACCAUUACCAGUGACAAUACUGCCACCCAUGGGUCCAUUGAGGCCAUUCCUUGCCCAGGACUAUGAUCAGGAUGUUUGGAUUUUAAGGGGGAGGUGGCUUUUGAGGCCAUGUGUGUUAUGCACAGGGGGGUAUAUGUGAUAGAGUACCCACACCCCUGUGUGUAUUUUAUGUUUUCUGUGGUGUCUCACUGUAUGUAUGUAUGUAUGUAUUGGUGCACAGGGUAUAGUGUGGGUUAUGUAGCAUGGGUGAUUAUUUAAUAAAUCUUUCAGGCAGUGCCUUCACUUAUCAAA